AACUCAUACACCUAGUCCUGACAUGUCUGAGGAGAAACACUAUAGGAAUAGGGAAGGUUUUAGUCUGUGUAUGUCAUAACGGCUUCUUAGGAUUAUCUACCUAUCAGGCAGGAAAACACCCACCUUGGGUGCAAACACUUUGUUCCCUAAGGAAUCUAGACUUCUUUUCCUAUUCUGUCAGACAGCAAUGGCAUUACACUCAAGCUAUUUUGGACUCUGGCCCACUGAAACCUUUAUAGUCUCCAAGUUUAUCUACCAAUGUAUCCUUGUCCAAUACAGAGAAACAAUUGGCAUUUGAGGCUAUAUAUGGUAGGCCUGUCUGCAAUACCGUUAGUGUAUUUUUGUGAGUGUUUUGCAUUCAGAAGAAAUCAAUUUUCUUCCUUCUGACCAAUAGUUCUGGGUUUCCUUUGCCAUACUAAACAUAACACCAUCUAUCCUUAGGCUCUAAUCAGUGGAUUCAUGCCCUGAUAAGAGAAGUAGGCAAACUACCAACCCAUCGUCCCUAUGACUGCACUAAUAAUUUCUUC